AAAAAAGGCUUCUCUUCCUCCCAUCUUUAUCUUGCCGAAAAAAAAAGAAGGGUCUUUUGUCUUUCGAGUUGGGAUCAAGAACAUUUUCUAGGUGUUUCGAGUGGCUUCGAGGAGGUGUUGUGAGGGGUAGUUGGAUUAUUUUCGGACUUGAGAGACUCGGGAUUAGGUGGAAUUGAGGAUUGUCAAAUUCUUAGAACGAAGCAAAGAAUAAUUCGAGAUUGUUAUUGUCUUCUAGGCGAAGGUUAAAUAAAGUCUUUAAUGUUUAGAUGAUGAAUUGAGAGUUUGUAAUAAUGAGAUUCUUUCUUUAGGUUGAGAUUUAUUUGGAGUUGAGGAAUAUUUAUUUUUAUCAAGUUAAUUGGCUUAGUUGACUUUUGGGAUUAUAGAGAAUAUUUGUUGUUGGUUUUAGUUCAAUGAAGAGAUUUGUUUUAGUGUUCUUUUAA